GGCUUAGUGGCCAAGUGGUACGGCGUCGGUCUCGUAAACCGAAAAUCCAGGGUUCGAAUCCCUGCUGAGCCU